AAUUCGCUCCUCGAUCGGGGAACCACCAGCCAUCAAGGCACAUAUAAUACUGGGCGCUCACGGGCGCAUACAAACGUGAGGAAGGAAUUUCGAGAGUCAUAUCCCAAGCUGAAUCAAAUACGCACGAUAAGAAUUUCAAAGAUGUGAAGUUUUUUCUAAAGGUUCUGUAGCCUCCCGAGGAUAGAUACGGACGUCUACGUAGCGAUCCGCGAGACUCUACUAAGCCGGCUCAUAACUCGUGUGGCCUAGCAACCUAGGCUCUGAUACUAACUUGUCACGACCCAAAUCCCGAUCGUGAUGGCACCCCGCCGCAAGGCUAGGCAAGCCCGACUAGAACAACUCCCAAAGAACGGCAUUCCAGCCCAAAGAGGUACAAUUUAGAGUAAAAUAGCAAUUUAGAAAUAAAACUCCCGACCAGGGACCAUACGAAUAAAAUACCACCACAGAACAAGAACUCCCAAGACUUGGGGUCACGAGUACAGAGCCUCUAACAAUACUGAACAUAAGUCUGAAUGGAAUUGACAAAAAUGUCUGACAAACAUCAAUGGAACAGACUAAUAGAGACAGAGUAAACAGUCUUGCAGACGCUGGGCAGCUACCUCAAUACUCUGACAGCUCGGAGAAACAACGGCAACAACACUAGAUAUCUGAAGCACCUGGAUCUGCACACAAGGUGCAGGGAGUAUGGGGUGAGUCUACCAACCCUAGCGAGUCAUAAGCAUGUAUAAAAACCCAAAAAUAAGAAAACACAAAAUGAAGCUAUCUAGCAGUUCUAUACAGUACAAGACUCAGAGAUAUACAGGUAAAUCAACGGUAAAUAAAUGCAUGAGAUGCAAUGCAAUGCAUGAACACUGUGGUGUGCAUACCGAGCCAUACAUGUGGUUACCUGCGCUCACUGCGGGGGUUCAGACUCCGGAGAGGCUCCUACAGCCAAAGGGCUAUAUCAUACAGUGCCAAUAGUUACCACUAUUUUCAUUAGAAUACAUGGUGCCAAUAGUUACCACCGUUUUCAUUAAAAUACACGGUGCCAAUAGUUACCACCAUCCAUGAAUCAUAUACAGUCCAGAAAAUAGAUAUAUAAUGAUCGUCAGCCCGAAAUAUCAUUAAAAUCCAUUUGAGUUUUCAAAACAUAGAAGUAAGGCUGAGUUUGCAAAAUAGUGUUCAAAACAUUGGACUGAAUUCAAGUAAUAUGCAAAUCAUGAUAAUUCUGAAACAACGAUCCCUGAAGGAUUCUACAAGUCAGCACAAGGCCCCAAACAUGGCAUCAAGCCUAAAUACCAUCAAUAUAGGCUGCGAAAAAACCGCCAACACAGCACAAUUUCCUCGGAUUGGACCGAGUCACAAUUUCCAACAUAUACGACCCCGCACUAGCCAUGGAGUAUGUGUCUCGCCUCAUAAUAGCGUCACAAUGUGAUAUACCAGGGUUUCAAACCCUCAGGUCAUCAUCUAAACCUAUUACUCACCUUGAAUAGGUGAAAACUCAAGCUCGCUACACCUUUUCCCUCUCAAUUCGGCCUCCUCACACGUCGAAUCUAAGCAAAAACAGAGCGAAUACAUCACAACAUGCCAAUGGGAUAAUACCCAAUCGAAAAUAAUCGAGAAAUAGCAAGAAUCUUGAAACUAGCAACAUCCAAGCCCAGGUCCCGCUUAUCGAAAAAUUAUGAAACUUACAUUUUUCGAAAUUCUCGUCUCGCCAUGAGUCCGUACAUAUAAACUUCAUCAAAAUCAGAGUCCAAUUGCUCCUCCAAAUCCCCAAUUUCAUUUGAAAUUUCAAGCCCUAGUUCAUCGAUAUUUACACCCAAUUUCAGAGAAAUAAUGGUUUAUUCUUCAAUAAAGUGACGUAUUAAGGCCACAAGACUUACCUCCUAUCACUUCCCGUCGAAACCCCCUUCAAAAUCCGUCCACAAGCUCUCAAGGUGGUGCAAAAAUGGAGGAAAUAUGAGAUAGCUCGCGGAUGAAAUGUUUAUAAAAAGCCCUCUACCCAGAUAUAUUUUCCUCUAUGCGAUCACGAACUUCCUCCUGUGAUCACAUAGUACAAGAUUCUCAGGCCUCCAUAUUGGCCUAUGCGAAUGCGACCAACACCCUAUGAUCGCAUUGAUUCACCGGCCAGACUUACGCGAUCGCAAAUUCCUUUCUGUGAUCGCAGUGAGAAACAACUUAAACCUACGCGAUCGUAUCACCAAAUACGGGAUCGCAUAGAAAAAUUCCAGAACACCAACCAAGCCUUGUACGCAAUCGCAAUGCCGUACCUGCGAUCGCAUAAGGCAAAUGCAUGCAACAGCUGUAGCCUCAAAAUCUGCAACUUUUUCAACUGCAAAAUCCUUCCGUUAGCCAUCUGAAAUCACCCCGAGGCCCCCCGAGACCUCAACCAAAAGUACCAACACGGCUUAUUACUUCAUUCAAAUUUGCUUGGGCCAUAAAAACACUAACGUAAACACCAAAAAUCACCAAAAUCCUUAAAUUCAACUCUAAGUUAAACAUGAACUUCUCAAAAUCUCAUUUGAUGUCGAAACCAACCAAACGUAAUCCGAAUGAUCGGAAAUUUUGCACACAUAUCCAAAUUCACCUAUCAAAGCUACUGCAACUCUCGAAAUUCCAUUCUGACCCUCGGAUCAAAUUCUCGCCUACCAACCGGAUUUUUCCGAAAUUCUAACCUCGCCAAAAUAGGCUAACUUUCACCCCGGACCUCCGAAUUCACUUCCGUUUUCUCUUCUAGGCCAUAAAUCAUUCUCUGAAACUAGUCAAACCAUCUGAAAUCCGCUCUGAGUCCUCUAACUCACAAGUCAAUGUCCGCUUGACUUUUUCAACUUAAGCUUUCCUUAAAGAUACUAUUUGUCUCAAUUCCAUCCAAAUUUGAUCCGAAACACUUCAAACUCACCAAACAUAAAUAAUAACACAUAAAGAAGCAUAAGACGGGAAAAACGGUACGGGGAUACAAGAGACGACAGGUCAGGUCUUUACAAUGUUACUUUAGAUCAUGCCAAAAGAAAGAAGUAAGUGCCUUAACAUACCUUAACCAUGGUGAGUCAUUAAUACCUGUCAAGAAACUCUUCAAAAAACUCAACUCAAUCUACCAUUGCAUAAGGAGAUUCACAAUCAGUGUUGAAUAAAGGCUAAGUUUGCAACUUAAACUUGUAGCUUGUUUAUAUAAAUUCGGGCAGCAUCUCUCCUGUAACAAGAGCCUCCUCCAAUACCAUAUAACAACAACAAUUACCAGAGAAAUCCAUAAAUAUAUAAUUAUCAAUAACAAAGACACCAUAAAAUAACAACAAGUCAUAACUAUUUUACGAGGAGCGACAAGCUCCAAUUGGAAUUCGUAUAUCCCAUAUCAUCCCUUAUAGACUUUUUACUUUAACUCAACAGUAUCAAUAACAUGAUAAUAAAAUCAUUCAUCAAUAAUUCCAUCCUUAUACCAUAUAUCCAUAAUAAAGAAAAUGAUCCAUAACUCCAAUUAUUCUUAAUUAGCAAUUUUAUUCGCUAGUUCAUGUCUAGUUCAUCCAUUUAACUCAACCGUUGUAUAUAUAACCUUAAGAACAUGUAGGAACACAAUAUUAUUACCUCCUACGCUAUAUGUAAGUCGAAAUUCAUGUUAUAUGUAGCUUACAACAGCCCAACACACCCCAAUCAAUUCAUAUAAAAAAUGAUAACUAUAGUAGUGUCCAAUACCCCCAAAGUAUUAUAAAGAAUGACUAAUCCAUCACUUCAACAUUAAGUGGUAUUUCUCCAUAACAUUUAUCCUUCAAAAACUCCAUUAAAUAGCAGAAAAAAUAUACAGCCCAAAAGCUGUACGAAACAACCCACAAAACAGUCCAUUACAAAUUAAAUAACUUGAACUCACGGCUUCCGAGCACUGUCCCGUGAGUUCGAAGUAUUAUGAAAUGAAUUAAUCAACCUUACUUGAUAUUUAAUAUCUUGAAACCAGAAAUUAGGUAUUUUUAUUAACUUCAAAAUACCUUCCAAAACUCAAACUACAAAGAAAAAGAGAGGCUAUAUAGCAAUACUUACGUCAUGGGGAUCGUUUUUGUGUUAUUGCUUCUUGAUUUCGUGCCGCGGAUGAUAGUAUUGUUGAAAAUAAUUAUGGAGGAGUUGGGGGUGAGUUUAGGGGUGUUAUAUGGUCGAGCUCUCUGAAAACAUAAAGUUAGAGACGAGAAAGAGAGAUAACAUCCCAUUUUCUAAAAGCCAAAAAGGUGCCACAUGCCACUCUCUCAUUGGCCCUUUUUCAAACGCUUAUAUCUUUUUAUCCGGAUGUCAUAUGAAUGAACGGUUAAGAGCACUGGAAACUAAAUUCCAAGACUCAAUUUGAUAUAUAAUAUGCCCCCAAAAGACCAUAUAUAGCUCAUAAAAUUUAUUUCUCAAAAAGCUCCAUUACAAGGCAAAUCCUUAGUCAGUUUUUCGGAUUUAAGUUGCGGAAAAACUUUUUCCGCAACUUAAAUCCGAUUUUUCUCAAACUUUAUACUUCUUAUACAAACAUCAUAUAUAGUCAUAUCAUGGCUUUAAACUCAUUUAAAUCAUGAUUAAAAAAUCUCAUAUUCAUCUUAACUUGCUUAACACUUCGGCAAACCUUUCUUGUCCAUGUAGAAGGAUUUCAUCCUUUUUAAGCAUAUAUCCAUUGAAUCACGGUGUACUUUCAGGUACAAAAAUAUGGGUUGUAUCAAGAAUUUGAAAGCAGAGCAUUUGAAGAAUUUUGUAAUGAUCAGGGAUACACUCAUAAUUUCUCUACACCACGCUCACCACAACAAAAUGGGGUUGUGGAAAGAAAGAACAAAACCCUCCAAGAUAUGGCAAGAACCAUGCUACUAGAACACUCAUUUCCAAACCACUUCUGGGUAGAAGGUGUAUCUACAACAUGUCACUUCUUCAAUCGUUGCCUCAUAAGGCCACUACUGAAGAGGACCCCAUAUGAACUUUUGAAAGGUAAACGUCAAAAAUAUCAGUUACUUCCAUCCCUUCGGAAGCAAAUAUUUCAUUCACAAUAAUGGUAAGUAUAAUUUUGAAAAUUUUGAUCCAAGAAGUGACGAAGAUAUUUUUCUAGGUUAUUCAUUAAAUAGCAGAUAUUUUAGAGUCUAUAAUAAACGUACUUUAUGUGUGGAAGAAUCUGUACAUGUUAUAUUCGAUGAAAAUAAUCCUUGGUCGAGAAAGGAAUUACUGCAGGUGACAAAGAUCAAACUCAAGAAGCUUGGGAUAAAGGCGAAUCACAAGAGUCGACUAAUACACCGGCUGCAACCGAGUCAACUGGUGAAAAUAGCAGCAAUAUACUAGAUCCACAAAUCGAGGAUGAAAACCAGGAAAACUCUCAAAAAGAAAGCAAACAUCUCAUUGAUUUCUCAAAUUGAGCCAAAAAAUAUAGAUAAAGUGCUGAAAGAUUCAAGCUGGGUGCAAGACAUGCAAGAGGAGGUAGACCAAUUCAGCAAAAAUCAAGUGUAGAAACUAAUAUCCAAACCUGAUAAUGUGUCUGUAAUUGGAACAAAGUGGGUAUUUAGGAAUAAAUUGAACGAGGAUGGAAAGUUCAUAAGAAAUAAAGCCAUACUAGUUGCUCAGGGCUACUCACAACAGAAAGGAAUCGACUAUGAUGAAACUUUCGCCCCAGUAUCUCGUUUGGAGUCUAUUCGAAUUCUUAUGGAAUAUGCAUCGUUUGAAGGAUUCAAGCUUUUUCAAAUGGAUGUUAAAAGUGUUUUUUAAAAUGGAUUUAUCUAGGAAGAAGUAUUUGUGAAACAGCCUCCAAGAUUUGAAGAUUCAAAAUUUCCAUAGCAUGUAUACAAGCUCACAAAAGCACUGUAUGGGUUGAAACAAGCUCCAUGUGCCUGGUAUGAUAGACUAAGUACCUUCCUUGUUGAUCAUGACUUUAGAAGAGGUAAAAUAGAUACUAAACCUGUUUAUUAAAUGAUCAUCAGAAGGUUACCUCAUUAUUCAAAUUUAUGUUGAUGACCUUAUAUUUGGUAGUGCUAACCCUCUUAUGUGCAAGGAAUUUUCAAAUCUUAUGCAAAGAGAAUCUGAAAUGAGUAUGAUGGGUGAGCUCACAUUCUUUCUUGGGCUACAAAUUCAACAAUCUGAAGAAGGAACCCUUCAUAUGUCAUACCAAAUACACAAAAGAGCUGAUUUAAAAAUUUAGUAUGAAUAAUGCAAAUCAAUUGGCACUCCAAUGAUCCCCUCUACGAAUCUAGACAAAGAUGAAUAGAGCAUCCUGUUGAUGAAACCAAAUAUCGUGGAAUGAUUGGAUCAUUGAUGUAUCUGACAGCAAGUCGACCAGACAAUAUGUUCAGUGUAUGUAACUGUGCGAGGUUUUAGUCAGCUCCCAAGGAGUCACAUUUGACUGUUGUAAAGAGAAUUAUUCGAUAUCUCAUUAGACAUGUAUCUCAUGGAUUAUGGUAUCUUCGCUCUAACUCUUCUAAAUUAAAAGAUUUUUCAGAUGUUGACCUUGCAGGUAAUAAUGAGGAUAGAAAAAGCACAACCGUACAUGUCAAUUACUAGGAAAUGCAUUAAUAUCCUGGAAUAGUAAAAAACCAGCAUCAGUCACAUUAUCCACUACGAAAGCUGAAUACAUUGCUAUUGGACAAUGCUGCGCACAACUACUGUGGAUAUCGCAUCAAUUGUGUGACUAUGAACUUUCAUUUAAGCCUAUACGAAUUUUUAUGAUAAUUCUAGUGCUAUUUGUCUUUCGAAAAAUCAUGUGCAUAAUUCUAGAGCAAAACAAAUAGAUAUUAAGUGUUGUUUUAUUAAAGAUCAUGUUCUUAAGGGAGACAUAGAAAUAUCUUUUGUUGGAACUUCUGCUCAACUAGCUGAUAUUUUUGCUAAGCCUUUAUUAGAAGAGAGAUUUUGUACUUUAAGAAAUUUACUUGGUAUUAUUUGCACUUCUAAUAACUCUUAGGACCUAUGUGCUCAGUUAAUUUUAUUUUCUAUAAUUGUCCUUUACCGAUGCGUUAAUUACGCAUCCGUUUUUCCCUCUCUCUUCUCUUCUUUCACAUCAGUUCAAAGUUCAAAGUUGGAAAGCCAAUCAUCACGUCAUCUCAAUUGACAACUUCUCCUUUUCUGUACUUAACCGUCAAAACCUUCUUCUUAAGGCAUAAAACCCCUUCAAUCACUCUCAUCUCAUAAAUUUUCAAUCAAAGCUCCUUCUCUACAAUGGCGAAACACUCCAAAAAUUCCUCUGCUUCCACUAGAAAGAGCACCCGUUUCAAAGCAAAAUCCCCUUCUACACCCCCUAAACAAGUAGACCUAGGGUCUGAUCACUCUGAAGGCUUCACCUCAUCUUAGGGAGAUUUUAUGAACACUCACAACUUUUAGGAGAAAAGGCUUUAGGCAAGCGACCCAUGGAAAAAUUCCCUAUUUCGUCAACUCAAAAGAAAUCAAUGGUUGAUUUCUCUUCCUCUUGAAUCUGACCUAAAUUUUUGGGAUUUCCCAAAUAAGGAUAUUUUAUUGCUCUAAAAGACAAGCCCAUUGCUCAUGGAAGGGUUGUCGAUCUUGAUGACAUGGAAGCCCUUAAUUGUAAGGUCAAAGAACUCUUCGUUUAUCAAGGGUGGGCAAAGAUCUUCUUUAUUCUUCUGCCUAAGGUGUAUGAAUCUCUGGUCAAAAUGUUUAUGCAAAUAUGCGUUCUAGUAACCUGAUAGGUUGGAAUCUCUAGUGCUAGGUAAGCACAUUAUUCUUGAUUGUUCCCUGUUUGACUCACUUUUUCAGUGUCGUUCUAGUUUUCCUACUUUGUUUAAAAACGUCUGGCCUGAUGGCUUCGAAAUUUCUUUUGACCAAGCCAAAUAGUGUAUUGCUAAGUUCCCCUCUAAACCCCUUCCAAACCAAUUAGGUUCUAGUGAUGCUAGUUUCGAAACUCGAGUUCUGGCCCAUAUUAUGGCAACCACCUUGCUUCCCUGUACUGGUUCUUUUCCAACCUUCUCUCAAAGAGACACAUUCUUUGUCUAUUGUCUCGUAAAGAAACUCAAAAUCAAGCUUUCCUCCUGGGUUAUCAAUAUUUCAUGAUCGAGAGUGCUAAAGAUCCCACCAGUUUACCCUAUGGCAUGGCAAUCACUCAUAUUAUGGAAGCCCAUCAAAUCUCCCUGUCCGACUAUCCCUUCAGCACUGUCUCCACGUCCUACAAUUCUAGAGCCUUUGCUAGUAUGGGCUAUGUGAAUAUCAAGGGCUCCUGGGUUAAGAAGAGCAAGAGUGAAGCAAAGCAGGCCCAUGUAGAACCCAAAACUUCACCCUCUGUUCCUCCACUUAAUCUUGACAGUUCUGAGCUUAGUGAAAAGCUUCGUGCUAUUAACUCUCAACUCUCUGAAAUCAAGAACCUUCUCACAACAUCUCAGUCUAUUUUUGGUGACAUUCAUGCUAUUUCUAAGGAAACAUGGUCUUAUGUGUCCAAAAUCAAAGUUGUUGUUCUCAGACUGAGGGAGAAUGUUGUCAAAGCUUUCAGGGAGAUUCAUGAGAGGUUGGAUGGUGUGAACGUCUCUGCAAAUUCAAGCUUCGAACAGUUGAAAGAGGUUAUUUGCAACACCCUUACCUAUUUCCUGCGCCGCUAGUGUGGUUGUUUUAACAUAAUUUGUUUUUCUGUUAGUUUUGGGUUGUGUUUUCAGCUUUUGGAUAACUUUUAUUUUUUGCUGUGCUACUUUUGUGGGUUGUCUUCCCAGACGUUGGAUAAUCACUUUACCUUCUCUGUUUUAAUGCUAUCUUUUUAGUUCUCGUCUUAUUCUUUCUUUGCUAAUGACAAAAAUGGGGGAGAAAAUCUAUAUUGUNNNNNNNNNNNNNNNNNNNNNNNNNNNNNNNNNNNNNNNNNNNNNNNNNNNNNNNNNNNNNNNNNNNNNNNNNNNNNNNNNNNNNNNNNNNNNNNNNNNNNNNNNNNNNNNNNNNNNNNNNNNNNNNNNNNNNNNNNNNNNNNNNNNNNNNNNNNNNNNNNNNNNNNNNNNNNNNNNNNNNNNNNNNNNNNNNNNNNNNNNNNNNNNNNNNNNNNNNNNNNNNNNNNNNNNNNNNNNNNNNNNNNNNNNNNNNNNNNNNNNNNNNNNNNNNNNNNNNNNNNNNNNNNNNNNNNNNNNNNNNNNNNNNNNNNNNNNNNNNNNNNNNNNNNNNNNNNNNNNNNNNNNNNNNNNNNNNNNNNNNNNNNNNNNNNNNNNNNNNNNNNNNNNNNNNNNNNNNNNNNNNNNNNNNNNNNNNNNNNNNNNNNNNNNNNNNNNNNNNNNNNNNNNNNNNNNNNNNNNNNAUAUAUAUAUAACACAUAUUUGUACAGGUACAACGGAGAAGUCCACUUGAUCACAGACUAGCCGACUGCAUAUAUUAAGGGGGAGUAUCAUGGACUAGUCAAGUUAACUGCAUACAUUGAGGGGGAGUAAAACAUAGGAAAGUCGACUAGUGUUUACCUCUUUUAUUACGAUAUUAUUAUAUUAUUUUGCCAUCAUCAAAAAGGGGGAGAUUGCUAGAUCCAGUUUUAAUGAUGCAAAUAAUAUACAUGUGCAAGAAAUCAAUUACAAGAAGUCAAGAAGAUAUCACAAGAUUGCUAGAGUCAACCCUGAUAAAUAAGGGAAGAAAUCAAUUAGUAAAGAUUACCAUACAAUCAGCAAAUCUGGACAACUAAGGAAAGGACUCACAAAUCUGGACGGAAUCCAAUUAGCAAAUCAAUCAUCAAAGAGCAACGACUAGCUGAGUUGGAGAGAAUCAAGCAAGCCUUAAGUUAAGGCACAAAUCAGGGGCAGCAUCCUGGAAGAUCGAAAUUUAUGAGAAAGUUGGUACGCGACUAAGUUUGGAAGAACCAACAAUAAAGGAGCAAGUCUUCACUCGUAUCUCUGCUGAAGGAAGGAAAUCAAGGAGAAACAACGGCUUACUAUCUUAUUUUUGGAAAGAACUAAUUUCUAUCCAAGGAUCAAAUCUCUUGGGUUGUUAAGCCUUUACUAUCCAUCGAAGUAUUUAUACCCCUCCUAAAACCCUAGUCUGAUUAUCGAACCAAAAUCACUCUCUUUAUUCUAUUGCAAACAAACAUUGUAGUUAACUAAGAUCUGUUGUUUAACAAGUUAGGGAAAGAAAGAGAGCAUAACACUAGUGAGACAUUGUAUAAAAAACGAGUGCUAGAGAAACUGUGUGCAAAUUCACUACAACUGUACUCGGAGAAACAAAUUUACUAAAAGAGAAAUUCCUUGUAACCCAAGGGGACUGGACUAGGAUUCACAUUGAAUCCGAACCAAUAUAAAAUCCUGGUGUCUUUAAUUUCUGCAAUUACUUUCUGCAAUUUACUUCCUUUUACUAUAUCUGUUGAAUUAUCAUAUCUAGUCGACCAACUAAUAAGCGAUUAAGUUUAAAUAUUUACAAUUCUCUCCUCCCCCUCUUGUACUUUCAUACUCAAUGUGUGUAAUAUAAAAAUUUAUAAUUACUAAAAGUAAAGAUAAAAUUUAUAAUAAACUCAUUAAAGAUUAUCUAUUUACCACUGAAAAAGUGUAACCUAAAUAUAUACUUAGUACGCGUUAUAAUACAAACAUAUAGAAAGACUAUUCUAUUUAUAAUUUUAAUAAAUUUAAAGUAUAAUUUAUAAUAAGAUAUAAUACAAAUCAAAUUCUAGGUAAAUCAUAAAAAACAGCAUAUAACAAAAGAAUUACAUAGAGGAGGCAAUUAAAAAUGACAAGGGCAAAAUAGAUAUUGUAUAGGAUAAAGGAGGGAGAAUGAUAAUUGUUCAAAGAUGAGGAGGAAAUUUGAUUUUUAAAGCAGAAUUAGUGAAUGAUUUUCACCAAAGUUUUUAGCCGAGGAAGAAUUCUAUUUUUAGGGAUCAUAACAAUAAACCCACUUCAGAAACAAACAGGUUCAAAUUUCAAAAUUUAAAAUCCAGUUCUUGAGCAUAACUUUUUGUCAAUUAAGGCAUUUAUUCUUGAACACUGUUAACGUAUAAGCACAACUCUUGAUCAACGUUAACUAGCCAAAUUUAAUAGGAAAAAAAUGUACAAGCUGAGGUGAGGUUCUAUUUUCAAGAAUCUGAAUAAAUAACGCAAUGACCCCACUCAAUUUUUUCUUGUAAAUUUGCCACUAAAUAAUGCAAGUUCAAAUUCAAUGCUCCUAUAAUAGAGAACAAUCUCUUUGGGAUUCUUACUUAUAGAGAAAAGCCAUUAGGUAUAUCUACAAUAUAAUCGUAAAUUUUGAAAUGUAGUGAGUGAACUAUUUGUAUAGAGCCAGAUACAAAUAUCAGCAUAUCACAUUUUUUAAGUAGUAAAAUCUUCUUAUUCUUCUUCUUUGUACCCUAAAGUGGUAACACAUGUUGUCUUAUAAUAUAUUAACUAUACCAUGUGAUCUUUUGCUAAUAUCUACCCAUAUGUUUACCAAAUUCACUUAACUCUUCUUUAUUCAUAAUUUGAUGAAUUGAUUGUCUCUAUAAAUAUAUAACUCUACUUCUCAAAGCUACCAUUGCAAACACUUCAAAAUUUCCACUUCACUUCCUUUUUUCAAAGAUUCGAAAACAACGUCUGAUCUUAUCACAAUAAGGUCUGCAUAUAUAUUAUUCUUUCCAAAGUCCAUUUGAAAAAUUAUAUAUACUCGAAAAAUGGCCUCUUUAUCUUCACAAGGUCGGGAUAAGGUUUGCAUAUACACCAUCCUUCCCAAAGUUUAUUUGUAGGAUUAUACUCGGGAAACAACCUCUUUAUUUUCACAAGGUCGGGAUAAUGUCUGCAUAUACACAACCUCCCCAUACCAUAUUUGUAGGAUUAUACUCGUAAAAUAGCAUUUCUAUCUUCACAAAGUCAGGAUAAAAUCUGCUAUACACUACCCUCCACAAACCCCAUUUAUAUGAUUAUACUUAUAGGAUUAUACUUGAUUUAUUUUUGUUAUUUCUUUUUUCAAAGAUGGGAAGAGGUUUAAUUGGUAUAGUUCAUGCCAAAGAGAAGCUUCGAAUUCGAAAAUCGAUUUCACAUAAAGACGGAAGUAUGUUAGCAACAACUAAUCAAGUUCCAAAGGGACAUUUUGCAGUAUAUGUUGGUGAAACAUGUAGGAGAUUUGUUGUUCCAAUAGCUUAUUUAAACCAACCUUUAUUUCAAGAUUUGUUACAUUGGGCUAAAGAAGAGUUUGGAUAUAAUCAUCCAAUGGGUGGCCUCACAAUUCCAUGCAGUGAAGAUUACUUCAUUAGUCUCACUUCCCUACUAAAGUCAUCAUAGGCAAGACAAUGAUUUUUUCCUUUUUUUUUUUUUUUGCUGCUUUCUAUAUGGGAAAAUAUAUGUGGCUGAAAGAGAAAUGACUAAGUUAACUCUCUUCAAUUUUGAAAUAUUGGCUGGUGUCAAGUUUGUCUCGUAUACAUCUUCGUUGUAAUUUGUACAUACAAAUAUUCUUCUAAAUAAAAUGUUCUCUUGUCUUACUUUGUUGGGCAGUUACGUUAGUACAUUUACGGGAGGUCAAAUAUUGGUUAGAGAUCUUUUAUUCUUGUUAGAGAUUUAUAGACCAGUAAUACAUGUAGAGAAAUUCUAGUAUUAGAUAAACCUAGUUUCUUAUAAUAUAAUAUUAGACUUUUACAAGCUUAAAUGGACGACACAAAUUGUGAUAAUUCAUAUAAGGUGUAAUAUAUACGGAGACACGUAAAGUUGGCACGAUCUUUUAUUUAGACAUUUGAAUUAGGCCUCUUCCCAAUUAGACAUGUUUCUUAGACAAUUCUCAUUCCAAUUAGACACUUAAACUAGGUUCUAACCCAUGACUUUUUUAGAAUAUAUAAUAAAUCCCUACAAAUAUCCUCAAAUAAACUUAACUUUUCUCAUUCCAAUUAGACACUUAAACUAGGUUCUAACCCAUGACUUUUUUGGAUAAUUUAAUAAAUCCCUACAAAUAUCCUUACAAAUAAACUUAACUUCAUAACUAGAUUUAGAGCACCUCCAAAACUUUUUUCUCGUUUUCUCUCCUUUCCAUUUCUUAUGCCAAUUAGACGAGAUAUGCCUGGCACACAUCCUAAAUUCAGCAUUGGGUAAAACUUCUUUCAAAGCUGCAGCAAAUCCCUACAUAAUAAUUAAUAAGCCAGCAAAAAAACGUGUCUAAUUGGUAUGAGAAUUGCCUAAGAAACGUGUCUAACUGAAAAGAGACUUAGUUUAAGUGUCUAAGUGAAAAAUCCAACUUUAGGUGUCUCCGUAUAUAUUACGCCAUUCAUAUCAUCAAUUGCAAUAUACUUCAGAUUGAAGCGUAUGUAUAAAUGAAUAGGGAUGAUGGAAAAAAAAUGCAAAUUAGAAUGACAAAAAGGACAAUUCGGUGUAUAGAAUAUUUUGUAUUUAUAUAUCCUAAAGCAAAUGUUUGUGUUGCUUGGUUCGAAUUGUACCCUAUAAACACACGAAAAUAAUUUUAUUCUUCAAGAUUCCCUUCAAUAUAGAAAUAGAAAAAAAUUCAUCUGGCAUCUUAGGUGUAAGAGUAAGACAACGAAAAAAAAGGAAACUGUAACUUAACUAUCACUGGAAAAAUCUUCGAAAAGAUAUGACAGUUGAUCCAAUGGCACAUUCUGACAUUUAGAUAUAGCUGAGUCUACGGAUCGUAAAAAAUUCAAUUUUUUAUCUUUAGACUUGAAACAGAGAUCUAUUUGGAUUCAUUAAUUUUGUUAGGUUAAAAAGUUAUUUAAUACUUAAAUAGCUUUAAAACAAUCAGAAAAUGAUAUGAGUUAAUCGGAAUCAAGGAUAAUGUGAUCUAGAGAAUGUUAGAUAAUUGAGAUCAAUGACUAUAAUAUAAAAAUCGAGAUAUAAGAGCAGUAAGAUGUAUAAUAGGUUUUUUUGCACAAGAGAGAGAGUUGUAUAUUUUCAGUAAUAAAAUACACAUGAGUCUUUACAAAAGGGGGGAGGUCCCCAUUAUAAACUAAGGGACCUUCCUCGAAAUAAUACAAAGAAAGAGAGCUUGAUGUGACGUUGCAGCGAGUCAUGUCACUCGGUCCGUUUAUUGACUGGGGCCGGCCUUGCUUGAGUCGACCAUAAUGAGGCCGCUUUCUUCAUCGAUGACGUCUGUAGAUAAUAUAUGGGCAUAGGAAACCAAAUAUGCCCAAUGCACUAUCUGACCACGAUAAGGCCGCUUUCUUUAGUGAGACCGUAUGCGGAUAAUAUAUGGGCGUAAGGAACCAAAUUUGCCCAAUACAGAUAGUCCCACCGUUUAUUGGGGACGCAGUCGAAAGACAUUUCCAAUGGACGGACAUACGUGCUCGACACCUACGGAAAUUUGGUCGUUCCAAUUGAUACCCCUGUGAGAGACGCACUCGUGUGUGAAGAGGUCAAGCCGUUGACAUGUUACCCCCUUUUUGGAAUUUCUACGGUGACGUCAUUGAUCACAUGCGUGAUCAUUACUUCUGCUCCCGAGGUGGUUCAGGUUAUGACGUGACGUUUGAGUUUUCUGCGCCGAUUUUUUGAAUCAUGCCCUUUCGAUUUCCAUGUACCUUUUCUUAUAAAUAGAGGGAGAGUUGGACUAGGUUCAUCUUUCGAACCUUUUCGGAGCAUUUUCCCAAUCUUUUCCCAAUCAUUUUCUGGUGCUCGCUGUUCUUUCUUCUCUAAAAUUCUCAUUCUUAGGAAUCAAACUUGUGACCCGCAAUACCUUUUUCUUAUAACAUUCACUGUGGCUAAACGUCGACAUGACGAUACUAGGACCAGGGACGUUGCUUCCACUAGGGCUUCGUCAUCCUCGGACGGCGAGGAGGCCGAGGAAGUUUUUGUUCCUCUAUCUACAGCCAACUUGCUCCCACGCGAUAUGAGCAAAAGGAGCGACUUUCUGAAUAAGUGUAAACUCCCUCCUUGGGAGCAUAGUGAGAUGAUGUUGUCCCACUUGGCCUUCUACAGCCAACUUGCUCCCACGCGAUAUGAGCAAAAGGAGCGACUUUCUGAAUAAGUGUAAACUCCCUCCUUGGGAGCACAGCGAGAUGAUGUUGUCCCACUUGGCGUCUCUCAGGAAGUCGUACGAUAUUCCCGAUCAUGUUGACAUGGUCCCCACGGAGCUAGACCAUGUUAACGUGCCUACGAUCGGGUACUGUGCCUUCUACGAGUACGCCUCCGAAUUGGAUACACCCAUCCAAUUUACCCUUUAGCGGAAGAGCUGUGUCACUGGUUUGGAGCAUGCCGGCCCAACUUACCCCAUACGCCUUGAAGGUGUGCAGGGUAUAAUCCAUCUAUGCGGCGAAGGCCGAAAAAGAGGUAACCGUUCAUCACCUUCUGCAAAUGUUCAAUGCUGGGGUCGAAUCUCAAAACAAAUCAUAUAUUUGGACUCGUGAGAUUAUGGGUGAUUGGGUUUUGGUCCGAGCCUCGAGUUUGGACCAUUUGGGCCCGGUGUCGAAUUUUAGUAUUUUUGAAAAUAAGCUAGGAAAUGCAUUUCUAGGCUAUGGGGUUGUGCUUUUGGAUUCUUAUUGAUAAUAUUGGAUCGAAUUAUGCUAGAUAUCGUUGGUUCGGGGUCAAAUUCUAGAGGAAAGGCGAUUGUUGAGCUUUGAGUUGCUAUUUGCGGCUUCGAGGUAAGUGUUCCAUCUAACUUUGGCUUGAGGGAAUAUGAUUAGAUUGUUAUUUGUUAUGUGUUAUGCGGGGUCGGUGUAUAGGUAUGGUGACGAUUACCUAUGCGCCCGAGUCAAGAAAGACUGUGAUGUCAUAUUUGCUAUUAAAUUGAUGUAUAGGUAUGGUGACGGUUACCUAUGCGCUCGAAUCAAGCAUGACCGUGAUGUCAUAUUUGCUAUUAAAUUGUGAAAUAAGUGAGCAAUUGUGAUAAUUACUUGUUACAAGAACUAUGAAGUGAAAGUUGAAAAUUUGACGAAAUAAAGAGGAAUUUUUGGUACUUUUCCCUUGUCGGGACCAUUUGUUGGGUUGUAUUCCCUUGCGGGGACCUAUUGUUAAGUUGUAUUUCCCUUGCCGGGAACAUUUGUUGAAUUGUUCUCCCUUGACGGGAUAUUUUGUCUUGAUAUAUAUAUUUCCUUGUUCCCGUUUGGAUGUGACCACUGUUUGGGGGAGGAAGAGAGAGUAAAAGCACGAAGAGUGAUGCCGUGCACUGUUUAUCGAGAGUAAAAGCACGAAGGGUAAUGCCGUAUCUUGUAUUUGAUUCUUGGUGAGAAAUGAGAGUAAAAGCACGAAGGGUGAUGCCGUGCAUUAUAUUUGACUAUUUUGGUAAGGAAUGAGAGUAAAAGCACAAAGGGUGAUGCCGUGCAGCCGUUGAUUCAUUGGUUUUUCUUGUUUAAUUAUUAAUAUUCAGUUUCGUCUCCUGAUUGUAGAAGUUAUAAUCGAACUGUUACACCCCCAGCAUGGUCCCUUCCCCUUUAUUUGCUUAAAUUCCUCCCUUCUUCCUGUUAUCACCUAUAUCGGUACAGGUUGGUUGUGAUAGGUCCCGUUUAGCCUCGUCACUGCCUCGCCGAGGUUAGGCCGGGCACUUACCAGCACAUGGGGUCGGUUGUGCUGAUACUACGCUUAUUUGCACAGGUUGGUUGCGAUAGGUACGGUUUAGCCUCGUCACUACCUCGCCGAGGUUAGGCCGGGCACUUACCAGCACAUGGGGGUCAGUUAUGCUGAUACUACGCUUCUCUGCCUUUUUGUGCACAGGUCAUGACCCAGGCUACGGACCGCAGCUUUAGACCGGGAGUGAUCCUUCAAUCCAGAGACUCUCAGGUAGUUCGCUGGCGUUCGCGGGCCCCAAGUCUCCUUUAUCUAUUUCUUUCAGUUUGUUUAAUUGUACCAAACAGACAUGUUAUGUAUUUUCGUUCAGACUAUUAUUUUUAGUACUCUAUUAGUAGUCCGUGAGCAGUGACACCAGAUACUAGGUAGAGAAUGAUUGUUAGUUUUCACAUAUUGGUUUUUGUUGUUGUUAUUAAACGUCUUCGCAUGUUAAAUUAAUUAUUUUAGCCUUUAACCUGUUUUAGAUUCAAAUUCUCUGGAAAUGAUUAGAAGGGUUGGCUUGCCUAGCUUCGAUAGUAGGCACCAUCACGACUCCCGAUUGUGGGUAAAUCCGGGUCGUGACACUUACGCUAUGCUAUGCACUAAGUAUAAGUGUAUAUGAGGUAAUAAUGUAUCGAAUACAGCUUAUAUAUAUAUAUACUUACGCUAUGGUAUGCACUAAGUAUAAGUGUAUUAGGUAAUGCCGUAUCGAAUACAGCUUAUAUAUAUAAUGCACUAAGUAUAAGUGUAUUAGGUAAUACCGUAUCGCAUACAGUAUCAAAUACAGCUUAUAUAUAUACGGUAUAUGUACUUAUACUUAUACUUAGUGCACAAUAUAGCGUAAAUACAUGUAUUUUAUAUAUAUAUAUAUAAUACUAUGAACUAAGUAUAAGUGUAUAUGAGGUAAUACCAUAUCGAAUACAGCUUAUAUAUAUAAUAUAUAUACUUACGCUAUACUAUGCACUAAGUAUAACUGUAUUAGGUAAUACCGUAUCGAAUACAGCUUAUAUAUAUAUAUAUAAUAUAUGUACUUACGCUAUACUAUGCACUAAGCAUAAGUGUAUUAGGUAAUAAUUUAUUGAAUACAACUUUUAUAUAUAUAUAUAUAUGUACUUACGCUAUACUAUGCACUAAAUAUAAGUGUAUUAGGUAAUACCGUAUCGAACAACUUUUAUAUAUAUAAUAUAUGUACUUACGCUAUACUGUGCACUACAUAUAAGUGUAUUAGGUAAUACCGUAUCGAAUACAGCUUAUAUAUAUACGGUAUAUAUACUUAUACUUAUACUUAGUGCAUGGUAUAGCAUAAGUACAUAUAUUAUAUAUAUAAACAGUAUUCGAUACGGUAUUACCUAAUACACUUAUACUUAGUGCAUAGUAUAGCGUAAGUGUAUAUAUAUAUAUAUAUAUAUAUACUUACGUUAUACUAUGCACUAAGUAUAAGUGUAUAUGAGGUAAUAUAUAUAUAUAUAUAUAUAUAUAUAUAAAAGCUGUAUUCGAUACGGUAUUACCUAAUACACUUAUACUUAGUGCAUAGUAUAGCGUAAGUACAUAUAUUAUAUAUUUAAGCUGUAUUCGAUACGGUAUUACUUCAUAUACACUUAUACUUAGUGCAUAGUAUAGUGUAAGUACUUAUAUUAUAUAUAUAGACACACAAGCCCGGUUCGUAGUACUAUUCAUCCUUUGUAUUACAAAAGUAUUAACUACUUAUAUUUAUAUUAUUUACAUAGUAAAUACAAAAGAGAUUUCUAAUUCUGACCAUAUAGAGACCACCUUUGGUCAAUAACUUUAAAUUAAUUUAAUUUAGCGACCAAAGUUGGUCACUAACUGUACAUGAAUUUAAUUUAGAGACCAAUUUGGUCACUAAAACUAAAUCAGAUUUAUUUAUAUUUUAUAUAUAAUACUUAAAAAAAUAAAAAUUGUUAACGUUGGGACUGGGUCCCAUAUUGGCGACCAAUGUUGGUCUCUAGUUCACUAAGCGACCAACUUUGGUCGCUAAACUUUGAAUUAUAUGUAUUUAUAUUUCAUAAAUUUCUUAAAUAAUAUAUAUUUAUUAAAAUAUUAUAUCUGGGUCCCGCUUUAGUGACCAAACUUGGUCGCUAACUUCUUAUCCUUCGGUUAGCGACCAACUUUGGUCGCAAGUUUUAAAUUAUAUAUAUUUAUAUUUUAUAAGUUUUAUAAAAUAAUAAUAAUAUUAUUUUUAAAAAAAAUUGUGGGUCCCACUUUUGCGACCAACAUUGGCCGCUAAACUCAGUUUAUCUUUUACCAAGUAAGUCUGACCAGUGCUAUUGCGACCAAGGUUGAUCGCUAAACUCAGAAUAUCUUUGACCAAGCUAGUCUGACCAGUCCAGUCAACAGUUUGAUUAGCUUUGCGUCCAAAUAGCAACCAAUUUCGAUCGCUAAAUUAUUUCAAAUAUUUUUUUUAUUAUUUUCGUAAGUUUGGCGACUAACUUUGGUCGCUUUUUUUUGAGAGAUCAAAUUUGGUCGCCAUAUUUGGUCUCUCUUUGACCGAAUUGUAAUAGUGUUUUCCCAUAUUGUUUUAUUUGCUUUUCUUCUUUGGUAUGAUUUUGCAUUUUUACUUUUUCUCUUUGGUUAUUUAUUUUUUGUAGUUGUUUUUUUUUUCUCUUUGGUGAUUUAUUCUUUGUAUUUGUAGUUUAACACUAUGUUUGGAUCAUUGUUCCCCGUCAUUUUAUAAUGUUAUAUUGUAUUGUACUGUAUUGUAUUGUAUCAUUUUGAUGGAUAUAACGUUUGAAUAGACUGUAUCAUUUGCUGUUGUUAAAUAACAACUUUAUUGUUUGGUUUGACUGUAUUGUACUGUACUAUACUGCUAAGUUUACUAAAAUACCCUCAAUUAUUUUAAAUACGAUGUUUAUUAAGAGUUACUAAUAAAAAUCAUUUAUUCAUUUGACCUCCACAUCUUGCUCACAGGGAAUCAUGAUAUUAACUUGAUAUAUUAUAUUAUGAACAUAUAGUUUGCAAGAUCAUAGAUGAACUAGCCAGAAAAAAUACACAAGAAAAGAGAUGGAAAACUAAUGUAUUGUUUGAGAAAAAGUGUUAUUAUUAAGUUAUGGAGAAGACAAGGUAUAAAUCUUGAUUAAGUAGAAGAAAAUUGAAUAGAUAUUUAAAAAAACUAAUUUUCAAGACUACAUAAAUUAUUUUAGAUUUUUAGAAAAGAGGUGGAAAUUAACCGAUGAAAACUCUCGUUUGGAAUUACUAAAAAAAAAAAGAACUCUUGUUUGGAAAGAGAUGAAGUAACCAGGAAGUACGUAGUUGAGUAGUUACAUGGCAGAAAGAAGAUGGAGACAAAAUACUUAUUAGUUUGGUGAACAUAAUAUAAAUAAUAGGUUAAAGGGUAAAAUUUAAAUAUAGAAUAAUAAGUGUGGGCGUAAUUGGAAAGAAAAAUACGGAACAAUCUCACCACACCGACUUAGUUGUUUCAUAAAAUGGGGUUUUUCAUUGUUCCGGAACAAUGAAUUUAACAAUACGAUACAAUCAGUUUUAUAUUAACAAUCAAAACAAACAUUGUAUCUGGGGUAACAAUACAAUACAAUACAACGGGAAACAACCAUCCAAACAAUACGUAAGUUGUGUUACUGUACAGGAAUAUGCGUUUUAUGCACAUUAGAAUUCGAUUCGAUCAUUAUUAUGCUAUUCAAAUUUGGUACAAAUUUUUCAUCCUUGGUUGGUGUUUUAUCUCAUGUGUGUCUUAUUUGGUACAAAUAAGAUCAAUGAACUGUAGAUCAUCCUGUUUUCCAAUUAAACAUCCAUGUAACGAACGACCUUGGUGUUAUUAAAUUACUAAUAAAUAUCCUAAAUCAAUUAACACAUCUUGAUAGGUUACAUGUAUUAAGGGGCAUUUAAACAAGACGCUUUUGAAGCAUUAAUUUAAGGUGUUAUAAGUUUAUUUUGGCAGUAGUAGGAAUAUUGUUAAUAUGUCUAUAUUUAGUCAUUUGUUUUAGAUGUUUAGAAAACAUACAAUUUAGCAGACCGCCUAAAGCACUAAGAUCUAAUUUACGCUAUAUUUGAUUCUUCAGUGUGUACUUUCUCAAAUGAUUAGCGUUCUCGGAUGGAUAUUUAAAAAUCGAUUAAACUGAUUGAACCGUAUCUCCUCAAACUGUUUUUUAAGUUUUUUUAAAAAAAUAAUAACAACAACAACAACAACAACAACAACAACUAUCCAGUACACAUUGAUGCCCCCACUUGAGUUACAAGCCCACGUAAAAUUUAUAUAUAAAUUUUAUAUAAAUUUAUAACCACAACGAUAAUUAGGGUAUGUUUUAAUCUUAUAAAAAUAAACCAAAAAAUACAGUACUGUACCGAAUAAAUUUUACAUGUAGAAAAUAUAUUUUUUUAGUAAGUUUAAAAAUAAUAAUGCAUUAAAAAUUUUGGGCCUUGGAAUUAUGAAAACUAUUACAAGCCAACAAUUAAACUCAAAAUAAUAAUUCCUAAAACCUAUUAUGUUAUUUCUACUUAAACUAAGUUAUUUCAAGUAUCUUUUUUAGCAAGGCAUAAAGUAUUCUAGCGAUUAUGAGUAACAAACUACAAUGCAUUGAAUAUGUUUUCUUUCAUAUAAUUUACAUUUAUCUUUUUGAAUAUUUCUAUAGACUUUAUUCUUGAGUCCUAGUUUGGUAUAUCUUUCAACUUGUGUGAUUUAUAUUUUCUUUAUCUUUGUUUGAUUUCUUUUACGUUGUUGUAGAAUAGUUGAUGGAUCUAUACUCUAUCCAUUUUUUUUUUCUUUUUAAUUCAUCAUCCUUUAAACAAUAAAAAUAUCUAGAGAGUUUUGCUAAGUCCUCUGAAAGAACGUAUGUUAUUGCAUUCUACUUCUACGGGUGAAUUUUAUAUGAUAUUAAAAAAAUACCAAAAAUUAAUCGAACCGUACCGAUACCAAAGAGAAACGAUAUAAUUAAAACUGUUUCAAUUGAUUAUACAUAACAAAAUAACCAAAAAAUUAGUAUGAUUCAAAUAUUAUAAAAUAACAGCCGAACCGAACUAUUUACAGCCCUACAAAUGAUCAUGACAUUACAUGGAAUUAGUUAAUCCUCAAUGUCAAAUUUUAGUUGCCAUUUUGAAUGGACGUUUCCAUUUCGAGUAUAUGUUCAAUUGUUUCAAUGACAUAUAUCAUUUAUCAAGUUUAUCGGAUAGAAGAUAAUUAAACCUCUUUUUUAUAAUUCUCCUAACAACUUUAUGUUUUCUAUCUCCGCUUUAUAGUAAAAUGAUAUAUUUUAAAAUUUUAAAAUGACUUUUAUAACCGAGAUGCACGAAUAAAUUAACUAGUUUUAACUAUAGUAAAGGAAUGUGAUUCUACUUGCUUAGUUUAGGGAAAGCAUGUUAGUAAUUUAUUUGCUCUAUCUACUAAAUUGCAAAUACCUGCCCUCUUUGUGAGCAUGCUAAGCCUAGACCUUUACAUUGUUGCUAUAUUUGGUUUCUUUAUGUUAAAUAUUGACUUAUUGUGAAGUGUUUACGUUUGGGACUACGGGUUCAAUUCCCUGGAGAUCCCCCUGUUAUUGGUAUGUUGGACUAUGGGUUCAAUUCUCGGGAAAUCCUCUGAUUCUGGCAUGAAGGACUAUGGGUUCAAUUCCUGGGAGAUCCUCUGAUAUUGAUAUAAAGGACUGCGGAUUCGGGUUAAAUUCCCGGGAGAUCCUGGGAUUCUGGCAUGACGGACGGUAUAUGUCUUAAUUCGACCUUUUUUCGAGUAGUUUUUCCUUCGGCAAAUUGCCCGAGGCCUAUGCUUUUUUGAAUCCAAUCGUAGAUAUUAUGCCAGUCAUACCUAUGUUUUUUUUUCUCUUAGCCUUUGUUUGGCAAGCUGCUGUAAGUUUUCGAUGAGAUCCUUAAUAAUAUCCUAGAAAAUUCAUGAUUUAUUCGAGAAAAAGCCUUUGUUUGGCAAGCUGCUGUAAGUUUUCGAUGAGAUCUUUAAAAAUAUUCUAGAAAAUUCAUGAUUUAUUCGAGAAAAAUUUUAAAAUAAAUAAAAUCAGAUAAUCUUUACCGUUUGAAACCUCGAUUC
rnacentral:lncRNA from 1 species